rnacentral:rRNA from 1 species
UACGUAGGGCGCAAGCGUUAUCCGGAAUUAUUGGGCGUAAAGAGCUCGUAGGCGGUUUGUCGCGUCUGCCGUGAAAGUCCGGGGCUCAACUCCGGAUCUGCGGUGGGUACGGGGCAGACUAGAGUGAUGGUAGGGGAGACUGGAAUUCCUGGUGUAGCGGUGAAAUGCGCAGAUAUCAGGAGGAACACCGAUGGCGAAGGCAGGUCUCUGGGCAUUAACUGACGCUGAGGAGCGAAAGCAUGGGGAGCGAACAGG